ACUUGCUGGCAGGAUGGCCUUGGGCAGGUUACUCAGCCUCUCUGGAGCGCCUCCCCUCUUUUCCUCCACUUGAGGUAGUAGGUGUUUUGCAGUCAGUUAUUACGAGCACCAAGAAGUCCUGCCAGCCUCGGAAUGUUGCAGAGGAGAGAGCUGGGAGGAAUCUGGGGCUUCUGGGACAGUGCUGAGCCAGCCUGAAGUCCACCUCCUCUUUUCCGGUAGACAGAUGGGCAAAAGAUGUGAACUGGCACGUUACAGAAGAGGAUACUCAAACAUCCAGUAAACAUGUGAAUGACACUCAACUUCACUAUUUAUCAGGAAAAAGAAAAUUAAAACCACAAAGAGGAACAUCACAUAAUAUCAGACUGGUUUGUCUGAGGGAAGACCAAAGUGGGGACUGAGAAUUAAAAAUAUAUAUUGAAGAAAGUAAAGACUAUUUUGUGACCGAA
rnacentral:lncRNA from 1 species